GUACUUGCUUCGGCGGUACAUAUACUACAAUACUGAAACAGUACGAAGAAGAUCAGCAUGGCCCCUGCGCAAAGAUUAUUAUUUUUUAAAAUGAAAAAAUAAGAAAUUGGU